GAGUUUGAACCUGGCUCAGGAUGAACGCUGGCGGCGUGCCUAAUACAUGCAAGUCGAACGAAACUUCUUUAUCACCGAGUGCUUGCACUCACCGGUAAAGGGUUGAGUGGCGAACGGGUGAGUAACACGUGGGCAACCUGCCCAAAAGAGGGGGAUAACACUUGGAAACAGGUGCUAAUACCGCAUAACCAUAGUUACCGCAUGGUAGCUAUGUAAAAGGUGGCUAUGCUACCGCUUUUGGAUGGGCCCGCGGCGCAUUAGCUAGUUGGUGGGGUAAAGGCUUACCAAGGCAAUGAUGCGUAGCCGAACUGAGAGGUUGAUCGGCCACAUUGGGACUGAGACACGGCCCAAACUCCUACGGGAGGCAGCAGUAGGGAAUCUUCCACAAUGGGCGAAAGCCUGAUGGAGCAACGCCGCGUGGGUGAAGAAGGUCUUCGGAUCGUAAAACCCUGUUGUUAGAGAAGAAAGUGCGUGAGAGUAACUGUUCACGUUUCGACGGUAU
rnacentral:rRNA from 1 species